GAUCAUGGCUCAGAAUGAACGUUGGCGGCGUGGAUUAGGCAUGCAAGUCGAGCGAGAAUUUGCGAUUGGAAGCUUCGGCCGAAGAAAGUGAAGGAAACCGGCGAACGGGGUAGGAUCACGUCGGUACGUACCCUCGGGACGGGGAUAGCCACGGGAAACUGUGGGUAAUACCCGAUGAUCUGGCGAAAGCCAGCAAAGGUGAGAUUCCGCCCGGGGAGCGGCUGACGCGCUACUAGCUUGUUGGUGAGGUAACGGCUCACCAAGGCGACGAUGGCUAGGGGGUGUGAGAGCAUGGCCCCCACCACUGGGACUGAGAUACUGCCCAGACACCUACGGGUGGCUGCAGUCGAGAAUCUUCGGCAAUGGGCGCAAGCCUGACCGAGCGACGCCGCGUGCGGGAUGAAGGUCUUCGGAUUGUAAACCGCUGUCGGGAGGGAUGAAGUGCAUGGGGGUUCUCCCCCGUGUUUGACAGAGCUCCGGAGGAAGCACGGGCUAAGUUCGUG
rnacentral:rRNA from 1 species